rnacentral:rRNA from 1 species
AUUGAACGCUGGCGGCAGGCCUAACACAUGCAAGUCGAGCGAGCGGCGGUCGGGCGCGUAAUGUAUGGGGACUGCCCGAUAGAUGGGGACAACUACUGGAAACGGUGGCUAAUACCGCAUAUUACCGGAUAACCCAUAUGGGUUUAGCUAGUAGGUGGGGUAAAGGCUUACCUAGGCGACGAUCUCUAGCUGUUCGGAGAGGUUGAUCAGCCGCACUGGGACUGAGACACGGCCCAGACUCCUACGGAGGGGGCAGUGGGGAAUAUUGCACUAAGGGCGCAAGCCUGAUGGAGCCAUGUCGCAUGUAGGAAGAAGGCCUUAGGAUUGUAAAGUACUUGCAGCAGGGAGACGUUACCCGCAGAAGAAGCACCGACUAACUCCGUGCCAGCAGCCGCGGUAAUUC